CAAUAGCGUAUAUUAAAGUUGUUGCAGUUAAAAAGCUCGUAGUUGGAUUUCUGGUUGAAGCGACCGGUCGGGCGUUGAUUCGUCUGCACUGGAGUCGGUUUUGGCCAUCCUCUAGGAAAGUGCGUCUGGUAUUAAGUAAUCGGGCGUAUGAUCCUGGUCUUUUACUGUGAAAAAAUUAGAGUGUUUAAAGCAGGCCUUCGCCUUGAAUACAUUAGCAUGGAAUAAUAAGAUAGGACUUUGGUCUAUUUUGUUGGUUUGCAGACCGAAGUAAUGAUUAAUAGGGAUAGUUGGGGGUAUUUAUAUUCCGAUGUCAGAGGUGAAAUUCUUAGAUUUUCGGAAGAUAAACUUAUGCGAAAGCAUUUACCAAGGAUGUUUUCAUUAA
rnacentral:rRNA from 1 species